GCAACGGGCUUCUAGUAUAAUAAUAAAAGGGUAAUAUGCUAAUUAGACCAGACGUCUUCCAGACAUCAUUCCGGAUGUCCUUCCUGACGAAGCUGGGGCCAGAGGGAAGCCAGCUGGGUUCCGGAUGCCUGCAGGUGACCCAGGGGAAGCCAGCCCGGGUCCCAGUGCCGGAGGGAAGCCGGUGCUGGCAGCUGGGGGAAGAAAGGCCUACUCUUGCAUGAAUUUUCAUGCAUCAGGCCUCUAGUGACAUUAUAAUAGGAUAUUUAAGUUGAGGUGUCUGUCCUGCCAGUGUGGCUCAGUGGUUGAACAUGGACCCAGCAACUGAGAGGUCAUGGUUCAAUUCUGGUCAGGGCACAUGCCCAGGUUGUGGGCUCGAUCCCCAGUGUGGGGCAUAUACAGGAGGCAGUGGAUCGAUCAAUGUUUCUCUCAUUGAUGUUUCUCUCUAUCCCUCUCCCUCUCUCUCAAAAAAUCAGUAAAAAAACAUAUUGAGAUGUCUAAACAGCUAUUUUAUAUAUAUAAGUGCAGAAAAUAUAUACCCAAGCAAGAAUAACAAAUACAUACACAUAUAUGUCAUAGGCAUAUUAUAGAUAAAUUGAAACAUUGGGGAAGGAUCGUUGAUUAAGAAAAGUUACAUGUUCUCCUGGGAGAAGAUGCCACCUAGGCUUUCAUAGCCAGAGCCGAGCAGUCUGUGCUGGCUCAGAGCUUUGAAGGACAGGCCCAUGGUGUUGCCGGUCAGGAAUGGCCUCCACAGCAUGUCCAGGGGUUUUGUGAGGGGCUCAGGCAGCUGGUGACUUGAGUUGAAGACAGUGCUCACUUACUAUUCUAAAAAUCCUAGGGUCUUGAAGAAUUGUGCUACAUGUCCUCUGCCUUUGCUGUAUACAUGGAACAUCAAGCCUGGAUGACAGCACACCUGUUAAAGAAAGAAAAUGUAUGUCCAUAGCUGAGACCUACUGCUCAGAAUAAAAGAUUCCUUUCAAAAUAUUCCUGCUCACUAACAAGGCACAUGGUCACCCAAGAGCUCUGAUGGAGAUGUACAAGGAGAUCGAUGUGGUUUUCAUGACUGCGAACACAACAUCAAUUCUGCAGCCCAUGAAUCAAGGAGUACUUUCAACUUUCAAGUCUUAUUAUUUACAAAAUACAUUUUGUAAGGCUACAGCUGCCAUAGAUAGUGGUUCCUCUGAUGGAUCUGGGCAAAGUAAACUGAAAACCUUCUGGAAAGGAUUCACCAUUCCAGAUAUCAUUAAGAACAUUCAUGAUUCAUGGGAAUAGGUCAAAAUAUCAACAUUAACAAAGUUUGGAAGAAGUUGAUUUCAACCCUCAUAGAUGCCUUUGAGGGGGUCAAGACUUCAGUGGAGAGAGUAGCUGCAGAUAUGAAGACGUCAAGAGAACUGGAAUUAGAGCCUGAAUAUGGGACUGAAUUGCAGCAAUUUCAUGAUAAAAGUUUAAUGGAUGAGAAAUUGCAUCUGAAGAAUAAGCAACAGCAGUGGUUUCUUGGGGAGGAAUCCAUUUCUGAAGAUACUGUGAAAAUUGCUGAAAUGGCAACAAAGGAUGUAGAAUAUUCCAAAACUUAGUUGAUGAAGCAGCAACAGAGUUUGAGAUGAUGGACUCCAAUUUUGAAAGAAGUUCUGUGGAUAAAAUGCUGUCAAACAACCUCGCAUGCUGCAAAGUCGCUCAUGAAAGGGAGAGUCAGUCGCUGCAGCAGACUUCAGUACUGUCGUAUUUUGAGAAGUUGCCAGCCUUCAGCAGCCACCACGUCAAGGCAAGGCCCCUCCAUCAGCAGGAAGAUCGGGACUCGCUGAAGGCUAUGGUCAGCGUUUUAUAGCAAUAAAGAAUUUUUAAAUUAAGGUACAUGUAAUCCUGAGCUACCACAUUUAUGUAGUUACUAGAGGCCCAGCGCGCAAAAUUGUGCGAGUUCCCAGACCCGCCGCAGGACCCAAGACCCGCCAUGCCGCGAGACCGAGACCCGCAGCGCAGCGAGACCCAUCAAUGCACCUCCUGGUGACUGGCCU